rnacentral:rRNA from 1 species
GACGAACGCUGGCGGCGUGCUUAACACAUGCAAGUCGAACGGAAAGGCCCUGCUUUUGUGGGGUGCUCGAGUGGCGAACGGGUGAGUAACACGUGAGUAACCUGCCCUUGACUUUGGGAUAACUUCAGGAAACUGGGGCUAAUACCGGAUCGGAGCUCCUGCUGCAUGGUGGGGGUUGGAAAGUUUCGGCGGUUGGGGAUGGACUCGCGGCUUAUCAGCUUGGUGGUGGGGUAGUGGCUUACCAAGGCUUUGACGGGUAGCCGGCCUGAGAGGGUGACCGGCCACAUUGGGACUGAGAUACGGCCCAGACUCCUACGGGAGGCAGCAGUGGGGAAUAUUGCACAAUGGGCGGAAGCCUGAUGCAGCAACGCCGCGUGCGGGAUGACGGCCUUCGGGUUGUAAACCGCUUUCGCCUGUGACGAAGCGUGAGUGACGGUAAUGGGUAAAGAAGCACCGGCUAACUACGUG